CUACGGGUUGCACCAGUGGGGAAUAUUGCACAAUGGGCGCAAGCCUGAUGCAGCCAUGCCGCGUGUAUGAAGAAGGCCUUCGGGUUGUAAAGUACUUUCAGCGGGGAGGAAGGGAGUAAAGUUAAUACCUUUGCUCAUUGACGUUACCCGCAGAAGAAGCACCGGCUAACUCCGUGCCAGCAGCCGCGGUAAUACGGAGGGCGCAAGCGUUAAUCGGAAUUACUGGGCGUAAAGCGCACGCAGGCGGUUUGUUAAGUCAGAUGUGAAAUCCCCGGGCUCAACCUGGGAACUGCAUCUGAUACUGGCAAGCUUGAGUCUCGUAGAGGGGGGUAGAAUUCCAGGUGUAGCGGUGAAAUGCGUAGAGAUCUGGAGGAAUACCGGUGGCGAAGGCGGCCCCCUGGACGGAGACUGACGCUCAGGUGCGAAAGCGUGGGGAGCAAACAGGAUUAGAUACCCCUGUAGUC
rnacentral:rRNA from 1 species